rnacentral:rRNA from 1 species
CCUACGGGUGGCAGCAGUGAGGAAUAUUGGUCAAUGGACGCAAGUCUGAACCAGCCAUGCCGCGUGCAGGAAGACGGCUCUCUGAGUUUUAAACUGCUUUUGUACGAGGGUAAACGCAGAUACGCGUAUCUGUCUGAAAGUAUAGUACGAAUAAGGAUCGGCUAACUACGUGCCAGCAGCCGCGGUAAUACGGAGGAUUCAAGCGUUAUCCGGAUUUAUUGGGUUUAAAGGGUGCGUAGGCGGUCGGAUAAGUUAGAGGUGAAAUCCCGAGGCUCAACUUCGGAAUUGCCUCUGAUACUGUGCGGCUAGAGAGUAGUUGCGGUAGGCGGAAUGUAUGGUGUAGCGGUGAAAUGCUUAGAGAUCAUACAGAACACCGAUGGCGAAGGCAGCUUACCAAGCUACUUCUGACGUUGAGGCACGAAAGCGUGGGGAGCAAACAGGAUUAGAUACCCGAGUAGUC